GGGUUGUGAGGUUAAGCGACUAAGCGUACACGGUGGAUGCCCUGGCAGUCAGAGGCGAUGAAGGACGUGCUAAUCUGCGAUAAGCGUCGGUGAGGUGAUAUGAACCGUUAUAACCGGCGAUUUCCGAAUGGGGAAACCCAGUGUGAUUCGUCACACUAUCAUUAACUGAAUCCAUAGGUUAAUGAGGCGAACCGGGGGAACUGAAACAUCUAAGUACCCCGAGGAAAAGAAAUCAACCGAGAUUCCCCCAGUAGCGGCGAGCGAACGGGGAGGAGCCCAGAGCCUGAAUCAGUGUGUGUGUUAGUGGAAGCGUCUGGAAAGGCGUGCGAUACAGGGUGACAGCCCCGUACACAAAAAUGCACAUAUUGUGAGCUCGAUGAGUAGGGCGGGACACGUGGUAUCCUGUCUGAAUAUGGGGGGACCAUCCUCCAAGGCUAAAUACUCCUGACUGACCGAUAGUGAACCAGUACCGUGAGGGAAAGGCGAAAAGAACCCCGGCGAGGGGAGUGAAAAAGAACCUGAAACCGUGUACGUACAAGCAGUGGGAGCCUCUUAAUGGGGUGACUGCGUACCUUUUGUAUAAUGGGUCAGCGACUUAUAUUCUGUAGCAAGGUUAACCGAAUAGGGGAGCCGAAGGGAAACCGAGUCUUAACUGGGCGUUAAGUUGCAGGGUAUAGACCCGAAACCCGGUGAUCUAGCCAUGGGCAGGUUGAAGGUUGGGUAACACUAACUGGAGGACCGAACCGACUAAUGUUGAAAAAUUAGCGGAUGACUUGUGGCUGGGGGUGAAAGGCCAAUCAAACCGGGAGAUAGCUGGUUCUCCCCGAAAGCUAUUUAGGUAGCGCCUUGUGAAUUCAUCUCCGGGGGUAGAGCACUGUUUCGGCAAGGGGGUCAUCCCGACUUACCAACCCGAUGCAAACUGCGAAUACCGGAGAAUGUUAUCACGGGAGACACACGGCGGGUGCUAACGUCCGUCGUGAAGAGGGAAACAACCCAGACCGCCAGCUAAGGUCCCAAAGUCAUGGUUAAGUGGGAAACGAUGUGGGAAGGCCCAGACAGCCAGGAUGUUGGCUUAGAAGCAGCCAUCAUUUAAAGAAAGCGUAAUAGCUCACUGGUCGAGUCGGCCUGCGCGGAAGAUGUAACGGGGCUAAACCAUGCACCGAAGCUGCGGCAGCGACACUAUGUGUUGUUGGGUAGGGGAGCGUUCUGUAAGCCUGUGAAGGUGGCCUGUGAGGGUUGCUGGAGGUAUCAGAAGUGCGAAUGCUGACAUAAGUAACGAUAAAGCGGGUGAAAAGCCCGCUCGCCGGAAGACCAAGGGUUCCUGUCCAACGUUAAUCGGGGCAGGGUGAGUCGACCCCUAAGGCGAGGCCGAAAGGCGUAGUCGAUGGGAAAC
rnacentral:rRNA from 1 species